GGUUAAGCGACUAAGCGUACACGGUGGAUGCCCUGGCAGUCAGAGGCGAUGAAGGACGUGCUAAUCUGCGAUAAGCGUCGGUAAGGUGAUAUGAACCGUUAUAACCGGCGAUUUCCGAAUGGGGAAACCCAGUGUGUUUCGACACACUAUCAUUAACUGAAUCCAUAGGUUAAUGAGGCGAACCGGGGGAACUGAAACAUCUAAGUACCCCGAGGAAAAGAAAUCAACCGAGAUUCCCCCAGUAGCGGCGAGCGAACGGGGAGCAGCCCAGAGCCUGAAUCAGUAUGUGUGUUAGUGGAAGCGUCUGGAAAGGCGCGCGAUACAGGGUGACAGCCCCGUACACAAAAAUGCACAUGCUGUGAGCUCGAUGAGUAGGGCGGGACACGUGGUAUCCUGUCUGAAUAUGGGGGGACCAUCCUCCAAGGCUAAAUACUCCUGACUGACCGAUAGUGAACCAGUACCGUGAGGGAAAGGCGAAAAGAACCCCGGCGAGGGGAGUGAAAAAGAACCUGAAACCGUGUACGUACAAGCAGUGGGAGCACGCUUAGGCGUGUGACUGCGUACCUUUUGUAUAAUGGGUCAGCGACUUAUAUUCUGUAGCAAGGUUAACCGAAUAGGGGAGCCGAAGGGAAACCGAGUCUUAACUGGGCGUUAAGUUGCAGGGUAUAGACCCGAAACCCGGUGAUCUAGCCAUGGGCAGGUUGAAGGUUGGGUAACACUAACUGGAGGACCGAACCGACUAAUGUUGAAAAAUUAGCGGAUGACUUGUGGCUGGGGGUGAAAGGCCAAUCAAACCGGGAGAUAGCUGGUUCUCCCCGAAAGCUAUUUAGGUAGCGCCUCGUGAAUUCAUCUCCGGGGGUAGAGCACUGUUUCGGCAAGGGGGUCAUCCCGACUUACCAACCCGAUGCAAACUGCGAAUACCGGAGAAUGUUAUCACGGGAGACACACGGCGGGUGCUAACGUCCGUCGUGAAGAGGGAAACAACCCAGACCGCCAGCUAAGGUCCCAAAGUCAUGGUUAAGUGGGAAACGAUGUGGGAAGGCCCAGACAGCCAGGAUGUUGGCUUAGAAGCAGCCAUCAUUUAAAGAAAGCGUAAUAGCUCACUGGUCGAGUCGGCCUGCGCGGAAGAUGUAACGGGGCUAAACCAUGCACCGAAGCUGCGGCAGCGACGCUUAUGCGUUGUUGGGUAGGGGAGCGUUCUGUAAGCCUGCGAAGGUGUGCUGUGAGGCAUGCUGGAGGUAUCAGAAGUGCGAAUGCUGACAUAAGUAACGAUAAAGCGGGUGAAAAGCCCGCUCGCCGGAAGACCAAGGGUUCCUGUCCAACGUUAAUCGGGGCAGGGUGAGUCGACCCCUAAGGCGAGGCCGAAAGGCGUAGUCGAUGGGAAACAGGUUAAUAUUCCUGUACUUGGUGUUACUGCGAAGGGGGGACGGAGAAGGCUAUGUUGGCCGGGCGACGGUUGUCCCGGUUUAAGCGUGUAGGCUGGUUUUCCAGGCAAAUCCGGAAAAUCAAGGCUGAGGCGUGAUGACGAGGCACUACGGUGCUGAAGCAACAAAUGCCCUGCUUCCAGGAAAAGCCUCUAAGCAUCAGGUAACAUCAAAUCGUACCCCAAACCGACACAGGUGGUCAGGUAGAGAAUACCAAGGCGCUUGAGAGAACUCGGGUGAAGGAACUAGGCAAAAUGGUGCCGUAACUUCGGGAGAAGGCACGCUGAUAUGUAGGUGAAGUCCCUCGCGGAUGGAGCUGAAAUCAGUCGAAGAUACCAGCUGGCUGCAACUGUUUAUUAAAAACACAGCACUGUGCAAACACGAAAGUGGACGUAUACGGUGUGACGCCUGCCCGGUGCCGGAAGGUUAAUUGAUGGGGUCAGCGCAAGCGAAGCUCUUGAUCGAAGCCCCGGUAAACGGCGGCCGUAACUAUAACGGUCCUAAGGUAGCGAAAUUCCUUGUCGGGUAAGUUCCGACCUGCACGAAUGGCGUAAUGAUGGCCAGGCUGUCUCCACCCGAGACUCAGUGAAAUUGAACUCGCUGUGAAGAUGCAGUGUACCCGCGGCAAGACGGAAAGACCCCGUGAACCUUUACUAUAGCUUGACACUGAACAUUGAGCCUUGAUGUGUAGGAUAGGUGGGAGGCUUUGAAGUGUGGACGCCAGUCUGCAUGGAGCCGACCUUGAAAUACCACCCUUUAAUGUUUGAUGUUCUAACGUUGACCCGUAAUCCGGGUUGCGGACAGUGUCUGGUGGGUAGUUUGACUGGGGCGGUCUCCUCCUAAAGAGUAACGGAGGAGCACGAAGGUUGGCUAAUCCUGGUCGGACAUCAGGAGGUUAGUGCAAUGGCAUAAGCCAGCUUGACUGCGAGCGUGACGGCGCGAGCAGGUGCGAAAGCAGGUCAUAGUGAUCCGGUGGUUCUGAAUGGAAGGGCCAUCGCUCAACGGAUAAAAGGUACUCCGGGGAUAACAGGCUGAUACCGCCCAAGAGUUCAUAUCGACGGCGGUGUUUGGCACCUCGAUGUCGGCUCAUCACAUCCUGGGGCUGAAGUAGGUCCCAAGGGUAUGGCUGUUCGCCAUUUAAAGUGGUACGCGAGCUGGGUUUAGAACGUCGUGAGACAGUUCGGUCCCUAUCUGCCGUGGGCGCUGGAGAACUGAGGGGGGCUGCUCCUAGUACGAGAGGACCGGAGUGGACGCAUCACUGGUGUUCGGGUUGUCAUGCCAAUGGCACUGCCCGGUAGCUAAAUGCGGAAGAGAUAAGUGCUGAAAGCAUCUAAGCACGAAACUUGCCCCGAGAUGAGUUCUCCCUGACUCCUUGAGAGUCCUGAAGGAACGUUGAAG
rnacentral:rRNA from 1 species